rnacentral:tRNA from 1 species
UGGGGAUUAGCUUAGCGACAUAAGCGCCUGCCUUGCAAGCAGGUGGUCAUGAGUUCGAUCCCCGG